CAGGAUAGGUGGGAGGCUUUGAAGUGUGGACGCCAGUCUGCAUGGAGCCGUCCUUGAAAUACCACCCUUUAAUGGCUGGUGUUCUAACGUAGACCCGUGAACCGGGUUGCGGACAGUGUCUGGUGGGUAGUUUGACUGGGGCGGUCUCCUCCUAAAGCGUAACGGAGGAGCACGAAGGUUGGCUAAUCCUGGUCGGACAUCAGGAGGUUAGUGCAAUGGCAUAAGCCAGCUUGACUGCGAGCGUGACGGCGCGAGCAGGUGCGAAAGCAGGUCAUAGUGAUCCGGUGGUUCUGAAUGGAAGGGCCAUCGCUCAACGGAUAAAAGGUACUCCGGGGAUAACAGGCUGAUACCGCCCAAGAGUUCAUAUCGACGGCGGUGUUUGGCACCUCGAUGUCGGCUCAUCACAUCCUGGGGCUGAAGUAGGUCCCAAGGGUAUGGCUGUUCGCCAUUUAAAGUGGUACGCGAGCUGGGUUUAGAACGUCGUGAGACAGUUCGGUCCCUAUCUGCCGUGGGCGCUGGAGAACUGAGGGGGGCUGCUCCUAGUACGAGAGGACCGGAGUGGACGCAUCACUGGUGUUCGGGUUGUCAUGCCAAUGGCACUGCCCGGUAGCUAAAUGCGGAAGAGAUAAGUGCUGAAAGCAUCUAAGCACGAAACUUGCCCCGAGAUGAGUUCUCCCUGAGACUACAAGUCUCCUGAAGGAACGUUGAAGACGACGACGUUGAUAGGCCGGGUGUGUAAGCGCAGCGAUGCGUUGAGCUAACCGGUACUAAUGAACCGUGAGGCUUAACCUU
rnacentral:rRNA from 1 species